GGCUGUAUAGCUCAGUGGCAGAGUGCUUGCCUAGGAUGCAUGAGACACUGGGUUCAAAUCUCAGCACCA
rnacentral:tRNA from 1 species